rnacentral:rRNA from 1 species
GAUGAACGCUGGCGGCGUGCCUAAUACAUGCAAGUCGAGCGAACGGACGAGAAGCUUGCUUCUCUGAUGUUAGCGGCGGACGGGUGAGUAACACGUGGAUAACCUACCUACAAGACUGGGAUAACUUCGGGAAACCGGAGCUAAUACCGGAUAAUAUUUUGAACCGCAUGGUUCAAAAGUGAAAGACGGUCUUGCUGUCACUUAUAGAUGGAUCCGCGCUGCAUUAGCUAGUUGGUAAGGUAACGGCUUACCAAGGCAACGAUGCAUAGCCGACCUGAGAGGGUGAUCGGCCACACUGGAACUGAGACACGGUCCAGACUCCUACGGGAGGCAGCAGUAGGGAAUCUUCCGCAAUGGGCGAAAGCCUGACCGAGCAACGCCGCGUGAGUGAUGAAGGUCUUCCGAUCGUAAAACUCUGUUAUUAGGGAAGAACAUAUGUGUAAGUAACUGUGCACAUCUUGACGGUACCUAAUCAGAAAGCCACGGCUAACUACGUGCCAGCAGCCGCGGUAAUACGUAGGUGGCAAGCGUUAUCCGGAAUUAUUGGGCGUAAAGCGCGCGUAGGCGGUUUUUUAAGUCUGAUGUGAAAGCCCACGGCUCAACCGUGGAGGGUCAUUGGAAACUGGAAAACUUGAGUGCAGAAGAGGAAAGUGGAAUUCCAUGUGUAGCGGUGAAAUGCGCAGAGAUAUGGAGGAACACCAGUGGCGAAGGCGACUUUCUGGUCUGUAACUGACGCUGAUGUGCGAAAGCGUGGGGAUCAAACAGGAUUAGAUACCCUGGUAGUCCACGCCGUAAACGAUGAGUGCUAAGUGUUAGGGGGUUUCCGCCCCUUAGUGCUGCAGCUAACGCAUUAAGCACUCCGCCUGGGGAGUACGACCGCAAGGUUGAAACUCAAAGGAAUUGACGGGGACCCGCACAAGCGGUGGAGCAUGUGGUUUAAUUCGAAGCAACGCGAAGAACCUUACCAAAUCUUGACAUCCUUUGACAACUCUAGAGAUAGAGCUUUCCCCUUCGGGGGACAAAGUGACAGGUGGUGCAUGGUUGUCGUCAGCUCGUGUCGUGAGAUGUUGGGUUAAGUCCCGCAACGAGCGCAACCCUUAAGCUUAGUUGCCAUCAUUAAGUUGGGCACUCUAAGUUGACUGCCGGUGACAAACCGGAGGAAGGUGGGGAUGACGUCAAAUCAUCAUGCCCCUUAUGAUUUGGGCUACACACGUGCUACAAUGGACAAUACAAAGGGCAGCGAAACCGCGAGGUCAAGCAAAUCCCAUAAAGUUGUUCUCAGUUCGGAUUGUAGUCUGCAACUCGACUACAUGAAGCUGGAAUCGCUAGUAAUCGUAGAUCAGCAUGCUACGGUGAAUACGUUCCCGGGUCU